GGGGAUUUAGCUUAGCAGCAUAAGCACCUGCCUGACAAGCAUGAGGUGGUGAGUUCAAUCCCUC
rnacentral:tRNA from 1 species